UACGGAGGAUGCAAGCGUUAUCCGGAAUGAUUGGGCGUAAAGCGUCCGCAGGUGGCUUUAUAAGUCUGCUGUUAAAGCGUUAGGCUUAACCUAAUUACGGCAGUGGAAACUAUAAGGCUAGAGUAUGUUAGGGGUAGAGGGAAUUCCCAGUGUAGCGGUGAAAUGCGUAGAGAUUGGGAAGAACACCGGUGGCGAAAGCGCUCUGCUAGGACAAUACUGACACUGAGGGACGAAAGCUAGGGGAGCGAAUGGG
rnacentral:rRNA from 1 species